CCUACGGGAGGCAGCAGUGAGGAAUAUUGGUCAAUGGUCGGGAGACUGAACCAGCCAAGCCGCGUGAGGGAUGAAGGUACAGAGUAUCGUAAACCUCUUUUGUCAGGGAACAAAGGCGGGGACGCGUCCCCGGAUGAGUGUACCUGAAGAAAAAGCAUCGGCUAACUCCGUGCCAGCAGCCGCGGUAAUACGGAGGAUGCGAGCGUUAUCCGGAUUGAUUGGGGUAAAGGGGUGCGCAGGCGGUCUGUUAAGUCAGCGGUCAGAGCCCGGGGCUAAACCCCGUCCCGCAGUUGAAACUGGCAGUCUCGAGUGGGAGAGAAGUAUGCGGAAUGCGCGGUGUAGCGGUGAAAUGCAUAGAUAUCGCGCAGAACUCCGAUUGCGAAGGCAGCAUGCCGGCUCCACACUGACGCUGAGGCACGAAAGCGUGGGUAUCGAACAGGAUUAGAUACCCUGGUAGUC
rnacentral:rRNA from 1 species